CAGCGGAAACCGGGCGGCUUGAGUGCAGAAGAGGAAAGUGGAACUCCCUGUGUAGCGGUGGAAUGCGUAGAUAUAUGGAAGAACACCAGUGGCGAAGGCGGCUGUCUGGUCUGCAACUGACGCUGAGGCUCGAAAGCAUGGGUAGCGAACA
rnacentral:rRNA from 1 species